CAGGCCUAACACAUGCAAGUCGAGCGGUAACACAGGGAGCUUGCUCCCGGGUGACGAGCGGCGGACGGGUGAGUAAUGUCUGGGAAACUGCCUGAUGGAGGGGGAUAACUACUGGAAACGGUAGCUAAUACCGCAUAACGUCGCAAGACCAAAGAGGGGGACCUUCGGGCCUCUUGCCAUCGGAUGUGCCCAGAUGGGAUUAGCUAGUAGGUGGGGUAACGGCUCACCUAGGCGACGAUCCCUAGCUGGUCUGAGAGGAUGACCAGCCACACUGGAACUGAGACACGGUCCACACUCCUACGGGAGGCAGCAGUGGGGAAUAUUGCACAAUGGGCGCAAGCCUGAUGCAGCCAUGCCGCGUGUAUGAAGAAGGCCUUCGGGUUGUAAAGUACUUUCAGCGGGGAGGAAGGCGAUAAGGUUAAUAACCUUGUCGAUUGACGUUACCCGCAGAAGAAGCACCGGCUAACUCCGUGCCAGCAGCCGCGGUAAU
rnacentral:rRNA from 1 species